CCUACGGGAGGCAGCAGUGGGGAAUAUUGCGCAAUGGGCGAAAGCCUGACGCAGCGACGCCGCGUGAGGGAUGAAGGUCUUCGGAUCGUAAACCUCUGUCAGCAGGGAAGCACGGUCACUGUGCUAAUCAGCAGUGAGUUUACGGUACCUGCAAAGGACGCACCGGCUAACUCCGUGCCCGCAGCCGCGGUAAUACGGAGGGUGCGAGCGUUAAUCGGAAUUACUGGGCGUAAGGCGCUCGUAGGCGGUAUGUCAAGUCAAGGGUGAAAUCCCCGCGCUCAACGUGGGAACUGCCUUUGAAACUGGCAAACUGGAGUGUGUGAGAGGAUAGUGGAAUUCGAGGUGUAGGAGUGAAAUCCGUAGAUAUCUGGAGGAACAUCAGUGGCGAAGGCGACUAUCUGGCACAUAACUGACGCUGAGGAGCGAAAGCGUGGGUAGCAAACAGGAUUAGAUACCCCUGUAGUC
rnacentral:rRNA from 1 species